rnacentral:lncRNA from 1 species
UAUUAUUUUAUUUACCCAAUAGGGAACCAUAGUUGAAACACCCAAGUAAUCCUGCACAACUCCUAAAAUUUUCAUAACAAUCAGAAUCAGGAUUAGGGCCCCUAAAACUCAGAGGGGGACAAUUCCCAUUCGAUAUUAUCUCCAAAUCUCGUUGUCAAAAUUAAAAUUUAUUAUUCUGUCAACUCAGCAGAGCUACCCCGAAACGUGUUCACCCUACCCUACUUUUGUUACCCGUCGCGCCACGCGACAGGAUCAGUAGUCCCUGUCGCGACACGCGAGGGAGUACAUUUUCCGGAUAUAAAUAGGGGGCAGUGGCACUUGAAUUUUGCUGGAAGUUCGACGUUAAAACUCGAAUUAUACACUGAGUUAUAGCAGAAAUCGUUCACACACCCACUAAUAUCGAAUCGCUGCCGCAGAACAGGGUAAUUACUCGAUCGCUAUUACGAUUCAUUUUCCGGAAUCAAUAUAUCCAAAGAAUGUCUAAGUGCCGCCCAUAUUGGGUUAUGCUUUGUCGUUUGUCGAUAAUUCGAUAAAUGAGUUGAAGCAUUAUACUUUGUCGUUUGUCGAUAAUUCGAUAAAUGAGUUGAAGUAUUAUACUUUGUCGUUUGUCGUUAAUACGAUAAAUGAGUUGAAGUAUUGCACUUUGUCAUUCAUUGUGAGAAUUUGAUCUCGUGAGUUAUCGUAAAAGCUGUAUUGAUCAUUAACCCGGCUUUGUGUGCAUCCUUUCCUAAAUUAGGAUUAUUAGUCUUAAUACACUUACAAUCAAAGUAGAUGCUAAUUCUCAGAAGAAUCUGAACCAUGAAGCUUGUUAAUUCAAAUACUGCAUGCUGAUUUGUAAUUACAGUAGAUUGGAGUAAGGAUUGGAUCCGACACUGAAGGACUUCAAGAAGUGGCUUAUUUUCAAAUUAAGAAAUAUAGUUUUUAUUAAAAGCUACAUUUGUAAAACAUGGAAUUUAUUCCAUCCAUUUAAAUAAAAUCCGGUGUUUCUAAACUCUGAUAUU